AGCAGAUUGAAUUAGAUCUAAAAGCCACCCAGGCCUUGGUCCUAGCACCCACUCGAGAAUUGGCUCAGCAGAUACAGAAGGUGGUCAUGGCACUAGGAGACUACAUGGGCGCCUCCUGUCAUGCCUGUAUCGGGGGCACCAACGUGCGUGCUGAGGUGCAGAAACUGCAGAUGGAAGCUCCCCACAUCAUCGUGGGUACCCCUGGCCGUGUGUUUGAUAUGCUUAACCGGAGAUACCUGUCUCCCAAAUACAUCAAGAUGUUUGUAUUGGAUGAAGCUGACGAAAUGCUAAGCCGUGGAUUCAAGGACCAGAUCUAUGACAUAUUCCAAAAGCUCAACAGCAACACCCAGGUAGUUUUGCUGUCAGCCACGAUGCCUUCUGAUGUGCUUGAGGUGACCAAGAAGUUCAUGAGGGACCCCAUUCGGAUUCUUGUCAAGAAGGAAGAGUUGACCCUGGAGGGUAUCCGCCAAUUCUACAUCAACGUGGAACGAGAGGUGGGGCCCAGUGCAGGAGGCGGGCCUGGUAGUGAGUUGUUGGGUAUAGCCCCUGACUGAUUUUUGUCCCCCAACCUCCA
rnacentral:sRNA from 1 species